AGCGAACGCUGGCGGCAGGCCUAACAUAUGCAAGUCGAACGAACUCUUCGGAGUUAGUGGCGGACGGGUGAGUAACACGUGGGAACGUGCCUUUUGGUUCGGAAUAACUCAGGGAAACUUGUGCUAAUACCGAAUGUGCCCUUCGGGGGAAAGAUUUAUCGCCAUUAGAGCGGCCCGCGUCUGAUUAGCUAGUUGGUGAGGUAACGGCUCACCAAGGCGACGAUCAGUAGCUGGUCUGAGAGGAUGACCAGCCACACUGGGACUGAGACACGGCCCAGACUCCUACGGGAGGCAGCAGUGGGGAAUCUUGCGCAAUGGGCGAAAGCCUGACGCAGCCAUGCCGCGUGAAUGAUGAAGGUCUUAGGAUUGUAAAAUUCUUUCACCGGGGACGAUAAUGACGGUACCCGGAGAAGAAGCCCCGGCUAACUUCGUG
rnacentral:rRNA from 1 species